AGUGCCAUGUCAAUGUUGUAAGUAAUGUUUGUCUGUUUUCAAUAUUUGGAAUAUUCACCAUAGUUUAUUAAAUAUAUUUGGCAUACAUUCGUUAUGAAACGAAAGGGAAAUUCUCUAAGCAGGAAAUCGAUAAACGAGAAUCAAGAAAUGAAUCCUAACAAUCACAUGAACCAUCACAUGAACGCAAUGAAUAUGCAAAUGCGGUCAAUGAAUCGCUUGAUGAAUUCCUUUAUGCCCGAUCCGUUCAGUAUGCUAGCUCCAUCCCCAUUUGAUCCGGGAUUCCAGCAAGGCGCCCUUAUGGAACGCAGUCAACAGGCCAUGGCUCCUAUGGGCGGAGGACUCUUUGGUUUUCCUCCAAUGCCUAGUUUCAAUCGUUUGCUUAAUGGUGCUGAUAUGGGCGCUACUAAUGGCGCUUCAUUUUGUCAAAGCAACGUCAUGACCGUAUCAACUGGUCCGGACGGACGUCCUCAGAUCUAUCAGGCUAGUAGCAGCACCAAAACUGGGCCAGGCGGAGUGCGAGAGACACGCAAGACCGUUCAGGAUUCGCGUACAGGUGUGAAGAAAAUGGCCAUUGGCCAUCAUAUUGGCGAGCGCUCGCAUAUUAUCGAAAAGGAGCAGGAUCUACGCUCUGGCCAACUGGAGGAGCGUCAGGAAUUCAUCAAUCUAGAUGAGGAGGAGGCCGAGCAAUUUGAUCGCGAGUUCACAACGCGUGCCAAUCGUGGAGUCAUGCCACAUGGUGGUCAUCGCGGUGGCAUGCGCGCUAUACAGGCUCCAGUAUCGAGCGGUUCGACUGUAACUAUUGAGCCACUGGAUGAUGAUGAUGAUGAUGAUUGUGUGAUCCAAGAACCAUCGCACUCGGGUCGACCCGCAUUGCCAGCGCCGCCAACAGCUCCACACAGCAGCGACACAGCAGCAACAACAUCUUCGCCUCGUCGCAACGCCGCAAUUAUCACAAACCCAGCGCCGUCACCCACAGUCUACGGCGUUACAAAUAAUAACUAUUUGGGCGGAAACGGAAAUGCAUCGUCGUCGUCGCGUCGCGCCUACCUGCGUAACGCACAACAUUUGGCCACGCCCCGUCGCCCACUGCGAACACCUUCGUCAUCACCGUUGGCCACAGUUUCCAGCGCUAGUCACAGCAUUGCCGGCUCGCCAAGAGAUUGGCGUUUGUAUAAUUCGCGUUUCUAUCGCAAGUAGAGACAAAUUACACAUACUCUACUAUCGAUAUCACAAUUAAUAAUCAAAUACAUAUAAUAUAAACCUAUAUAUAAAUAUAUGAUAUACUACUACCAAACCGCAACGUAAUUGAACAACGAUCAGUGCCGUUAGACGCGAUAAACCGUCAACGCUAUCACAUCCAAUACUAACCCGUAACGGCGUUUUGCGACGACUCCACAUCCACAACUAUGUCUUCUCCGCCUGCACCGUAGACUAGAUUAUCAACGCCUGCGACGCUAAACACACAUCAUCGUUACGUCACCGCAGCGCAACACAAAGCAAAGCGACGCCUCAUGUUACGUUAUACAUCCACAUCCCUAUGCUGCAAAUCACGCAGCUGCACGCCGUCAACAGCGUCUGAAGCACCAUCACCAUCACCAAGGGAAUGGCAAUGGAGGAACAACAGAAGAAGCAACUGAGCCCCGUAUCAAAUCGGCGAAGC